UUGCUCCUCCGGAUUAGUGGCGAACGGGUGAGUAAUACGUGAGCAAUGUGCCCUUGACUCUGGGAUAAGCGCUGGAAACGGCGUCUAAUACCGGAUACGACGACCGGAGGCAUCUCCUGGUCGUGGAAAGAACUUCGGUCAAGGAUCAGCUCACGGCCUAUCAGCUAGUUGGUGAGGUAACGGCUCACCAAGGCGACGACGGGUAGCCGGCCUGAGAGGGUGACCGGCCACACUGGGACUGAGACACGGCCCAGACUCCUACGGGAGGCAGCAGUGGGGAAUAUUGCACAAUGGGCGCAAGCCUGAUGCAGCAACGCCGCGUGAGGGACGAAGGCCUUCGGGUUGUAAACCUCUUUUAGCAGGGAAGAAGCGAAAGUGACGGUACCUGCAGAAAAAGCACCGGCUAACUACGUGCCAGCAGCCGCGGUAAUACGUAGGGUGCAAGCGUUGUCCGGAAUUAUUGGGCGUAAAGAGCUCGUAGGCGGUUUGUCACGUCUGCUGUGAAAACCCGAGGCUCAACCUCGGGCUUGCAGUGGGUACGGGCAGACUAGAGUGCGGUAGGGGAGAUUGGAAUUCCUGGUGUAGCGGUGGAAUGCGCAGAUAUCAGGAGGAACACCGAUGGCGAAGGCAGAUCUCUGGGCCGUAACUGACGCUGAGGAGCGAAAGCAUGGGGAGCAAACAGGCUUAGAUACCCUGGUAGUCCAUGCCGUAAACGUUGGGAACUAGAUGUGGGGACCAUUCCACGGUCUCCGUGUCGUAGCUAACGCAUUAAGUUCCCCGCCUGGGGAGUACGGCCGCAAGGCUAAAACUCAA
rnacentral:rRNA from 1 species